rnacentral:lncRNA from 1 species
UUAAGAAGUUGAAGAUCGCUUCAACUCUGUGAUAUGUCCCUCUGAAUAUCAGCUUCUAUUGUACGCCUUCUUCACAAGCUAUGUAGAGGCAGCUAAACCAAGCGUGAAGCUUACAUCUCUGUAAAACUGUGUUCGUUUUUCAGAUGGGAAAACAAAUCAACUUUCAUAUUUACCAAGUAAUUAAGUGCAAAUGUGUUUGUGUUCCCACUUCAGAAAUCCCACCUGCUCUAUCAAGGUUUUUGGGUGUCCAUAAGGCAACAAAGGAUACAUAGAAAUCUGUACAGCUUUAAUUGACUUGGAGAGUUGGAAAUGUUUUGUUGGGUUAAAUUAGGAUUUUUCAUCCUUCCUGAAACUGAGUAGAGAGAACACUUACAAAUGACUCAAUUCCAGGAUUUUAACACUUUUUUUUUUUUUUUUGCCAAGGGGAAUACUUUAGAAUGGUUAUGUCGGAAAGGCAAGUGAGCUGAAAUGUUGUGGUAGUAAGAUUUGCAGCAUUAAAUCCGGCUCAUUUCUCUUGUAUGACUACAGGUGGCAGUGUAGAAGCCAAGAACAAAAAUUGGCAGAAAUUACAUUCUGUGUACGAGAGAAUGAAGAGUAUACUCAUGACUAAGCACAGGAACCUGGAAAACCACAGGCUUUGGUCAGGUGAUCCAUGGUGACUGGUCAGCCCACCAAGAGGGUACCUCAGCAACCAGGUGGUGUUGGACUAAUGCUGUGGAUCGUUCAGCCCAGAACUUGUAGUUGCCC